AGCAGCCGCGGUAAUUCCAGCUCCAAUAGCGUAUAUUAAAGUUGUUGCAGUUAAAAAGCUCGUAGUUGAAUUUCGGGGUUAGUAGAUUGGUCAUGCCACUGGUAUGUACUUGUCUUACUGAUUCCUCCUUCCUGAUGAACCGUAAUGCCAUUAACUUGGUGUUGCGGGGAGACUGGACUGUUACUUUGAAAAAUUAGAGUGUUUAAAGCAGGCUAACGCUUGAAUACAUUAGCAUGGAAUAAUGAAAUAGGACGUUCGAUCCUAUUUUGUUGGUUUCUAGGAUUGACGUAAUGAUUAAUAGGGAUAGUUGGGGGCAUUAGUAUUCAAUUGUCAGAGGUGAAAUUCUUGGAUUUAUUGAAGACUAACUACUGCGAAAGCAUUUGCCAAGGAUGUUUUCAUUAAUCAAGAACGAAAGUUAGGGGAUCGAAGACGAUCAGAUACCGUCGUAGU
rnacentral:rRNA from 1 species